rnacentral:rRNA from 1 species
GUCUACGAACAUACCACCCUGAACAUGCCUGAUCUCGUUUGAUCUCGGAAGCUAAGCAGGGUCGGGCCUGGUUAGUACUUGGAUGGGAGACCAAAGCAGUGGUCUGAUAAACA